rnacentral:rRNA from 1 species
GACGAACGCUGGCGGCGCGCCUAACACAUGCCAGUCGAACGAGCGAGCGAGAGCUUGCUUUCUCGAGCGAGUGGCGAACGGGUGAGUAACGCGUGAGGAACCUGCCUCAAAGAGGGGGACAACAGUUGGAAACGACUGCUAAUACCGCAUAAGCCCACGGCUCGGCAUCGAGCAGGGGGAAAAGGAGCAAUCCGCUUUGAGAUGGCCUCGCGUCCGAUUAGCUAGUUGGUGGGGUAACGGCCCACCAAGGCGACGAUCGGUAGCCGGACCGAGAGGUUGAACGGCCACAUUGGGACUGAGACACGGCCCAGACUCCUACGGGAGGCAGCAGUGGGGAAUAUUGCACAAUGGGGGAAACCCUGAUGCAGCGACGCCGCGUGGAGGAAGAAGGUCUUCGGAUUGUAAACUCCUGUUGUUGGGGAAGAUAAUGACGGUACCCAACAAGGAAGUGACGCCUAACUACGUG